rnacentral:rRNA from 1 species
UACGUAGGGGGCAAGCGUUGUCCGGAAUCAUUGGGCGUAAAGCGCGCGUAGGCGGCCCGAUCAGUCCGCUGUAAAAGUCCAGGGCUCAACCCUGGAAAGCCGGUGGAUACUGUCGGGCUAGAGUCCGGAAGAGGCGAGUGGAAUUCCUGGUGUAGCGGCGGAAUGCGCAGAUAUCAGGAGGAACACCGAUAGCGAAGGCAGCUCGCUGGGACGGUACUGACGCUGAGGUGCGAAAGCGUGGGGAGCGAACAGG